GGGGGUCGUGGCUUAGUGGUAGAGCAUCUACUUUGCAUGCAAAAGGUUGCAGGGUCAAUCCCUUGGAUCUCCA